UACGAAGGGGGCUAGCGUUGUUCGGAAUUACUGGGCGUAAAGCGUGCGCAGGCGGCUUCUCAAGUCAGGGGUGAAAGCCCAGAGCUCAACUCUGGAAUUGCCUUUGAGACUGAGUGGCUUGAGUACGAGAGAGGUGAGGGGAAUUCCCAGUGUAGAGGUGAAAUUCGUAGAUAUUCGGAAGAACACCAGUGGCGAAGGCGGCUCACUGGCCCGGUACUGACGCUCAGGUGCGAAAGCGUGGGGAGCAAACAGG
rnacentral:rRNA from 1 species